AGAACGAACGCUGGCGGCAGGCUUAACACAUGCAAGUCGAGCGCCCAGCAAUGGGAGCGGCGGACGGGUGAGUAACACGUGGGAACAUGCCUUUCGGUACGGAACAACUUCGGGAAACUGAAGCUAAUGCCGUAUGCGCCCUUACGGGGAAAGAUUUAUCGCCGAAAGAUUGGCCCGCGUCUGAUUAGCUAGUUGGUGAGGUAACGGCUCACCAAGGCUUCGAUCAGUAGCUGGUUUGAGAGAACGACCAGCCACACUGGGACUGAGACACGGCCCAGACUCCUACGGGAGGCAGCAGUGGGGAAUCUUGGACAAUGGAGGAAACUCUGAUCCAGCCAUGCCGCGUGAGUGAUGAAGGCCUUCGGGUUGUAAAACUCUUUUACCAGGAGAUAAUGACUGUACCUGGAGAAUAAGCCCGGCUAACUUCGUGCCAGCAGCCGC
rnacentral:rRNA from 1 species